rnacentral:rRNA from 1 species
AACGUAGGACGCAAGCGUUAUCCGGAGUUACUGGGCGUAAAGGGCGUGUAGGCGGCGCUGCAAGUUCGUCGUGAAAGACCCCGGCUCAACCGGGGGAGGUCGAGGGAGACUGCGGCGCUGGAGGACGGCGGAGGGACAGGGAAUUCCGGGUGUAGUGGUGAAAUGCGUAGAGAUCCGGAGGAACACCAGUGGCGAAGGCGCUGUCCUGGGCCGUUGCUGACGCUGAGACGCGACAGCAUGGGGAGCGAACGGG